AUUGAACGCUGGCGGCAUGCUUUACACAUGCAAGUCGAACGGCAGCGCGGGCUUCGGCCUGGCGGCGAGUGGCGAACGGGUGAGUAAUGCAUCGGAACGUGCCCAGUAGUGGGGGAUAGCCCGGCGAAAGCCGGAUUAAUACCGCAUACGACCUGAGGGUGAAAGCGGGGGACCGAAAGGCCUCGCGCUAUUGGAGCGGCCGAUGUCGGAUUAGCUAGUUGGUGGGGUAAAGGCUUACCAAGGCGACGAUCCGUAGCUGGUCUGAGAGGACGACCAGCACACUGGGACUGAGACACGGCCCAGACUCCUACGGGAGGCAGCAGUGGGGAAUGUUGGACAAUGGGGGCAACCCUGAUCCAGCCAUGCCGCGUGCGGGAAGAAGGCCCUCGGGUUGUAAACCGAUUUUGUUCGGGAAGAAAUCCUCUGGGCUAAUACCCCGGGGGGAUGAAGGUACCGGAAGAAUAAGCACCGGCUAACUACGUG
rnacentral:rRNA from 1 species